UACGUAGGGGGCUAGCGUUGUCCGGAAUUACUGGGCGUAAAGAGCUCGUAGGUGGUUUGUCGCGUUGUUCGUGAAAACUCACAGCUCAACUGUGGGCGUGCGGGCGAUACGGGCAGACUAGAGUACUGCAGGGGAGACUGGAAUUCCUGGUGUAGCGGUGGAAUGCGCAGAUAUCAGGAGGAACACCGGUGGCGAAGGCGGGUCUCUGGGCAGUAACUGACGCUGAGGAGCGAAAGCGUGGGGAGCGAACAGG
rnacentral:rRNA from 1 species